AAAUUGAAGAGUUUGAUCAUGGCUCAGAUUGAACGCUGGCGGCAGGCCUAACACAUGCAAGUCGAACGGUAACAGGAAGCAGCUUGCUGCUUCGCUGACGAGUGGCGGACGGGUGAGUAAUGUCUGGGAAACUGCCUGAUGGAGGGGGAUAACUACUGGAAACGGUGGCUAAUACCGCAUAACGUCGCAAGACCAAAGAGGGGGACCUUCGGGCCUCUUGCCAUCAGAUGUGCCCAGAUGGGAUUAGCUUGUUGGUGAGGUAACGGCUCACCAAGGCGACGAUCCCUAGCUGGUCUGAGAGGAUGACCAGCCACACUGGAACUGAGACACGGUCCAGACUCCUACGGGAGGCAGCAGUGGGGAAUAUUGCACAAUGGGCGCAAGCCUGAUGCAGCCAUGCCGCGUGUAUGAAGAAGGCCUUCGGGUUGUAAAGUACUUUCAGCGGGGAGGAAGGUGUUGUGGUUAAUAACCACAGCAAUUGACGUUACCCGCAGAAGAAGCACCGGCUAACUCCGUGCCAGCAGCCGCGGUAAUACGGAGGGUGCAAGCGUUAAUCGGAAUUACUGGGCGUAAAGCGCACGCAGGCGGUCUGUCAAGUCGGAUGUGAAAUCCCCGGGCUCAACCUGGGAACUGCAUUCGAAACUGGCAGGCUUGAGUCUUGUAGAGGGGGGUAGAAUUCCAGGUGUAGCGGUGAAAUGCGUAGAGAUCUGGAGGAAUACCGGUGGCGAAGGCGGCCCCCUGGACAAAGACUGACGCUCAGGUGCGAAAGCGUGGGGAGCAAACAGGAUUAGAUACCCUGGUAGUCCACGCCGUAAACGAUGUCUACUUGGAGGUUGUGCCCUUGAGGCGUGGCUUCCGGAGCUAACGCGUUAAGUAGACCGCCUGGGGAGUACGGCCGCAAGGUUAAAACUCAAAUGAAUUGACGGGGGCCCGCACAAGCGGUGGAGCAUGUGGUUUAAUUCGAUGCAACGCGAAGAACCUUACCUGGUCUUGACAUCCACAGAACUUUCCAGAGAUGGAUUGGUGCCUUCGGGAACUGUGAGACAGGUGCUGCAUGGCUGUCGUCAGCUCGUGUUGUGAAAUGUUGGGUUAAGUCCCGCAACGAGCGCAACCCUUAUCCUUUGUUGCCAGCGGUUAGGCCGGGAACUCAAAGGAGACUGCCAGUGAUAAACUGGAGGAAGGUGGGGAUGACGUCAAGUCAUCAUGGCCCUUACGACCAGGGCUACACACGUGCUACAAUGGCGCAUACAAAGAGAAGCGACCUCGCGAGAGCAAGCGGACCUCAUAAAGUGCGUCGUAGUCCGGAUUGGAGUCUGCAACUCGACUCCAUGAAGUCGGAAUCGCUAGUAAUCGUGGAUCAGAAUGCCACGGUGAAUACGUUCCCGGGCCUUGUACACACCGCCCGUCACACCAUGGGAGUGGGUUGCAAAAGAAGUAGGUAGCUUAACCUUCGGGAGGGCGCUUACCACUUUGUGAUUCAUGACUGGGGUGAAGUCGUAACAAGGUAACCGUAGGGGAACCUGCGGUUGGAUCACCUCCUUACCUGAAAGAA
rnacentral:rRNA from 2 species